GUGCUGUGUUUAAAUGUUUUCAAAUGCUAGCACUUAAACUACUAAUUUUUUUUUUUUAAAAAUGGAAUACAUUUAAUGCUGGUUCAUGAUGUCUCAUAUACCCGUUAAUUAUCUACAUGACUAUAUAUUUCACAUUUACAUUGACUAUUCGAUGUAAAAAAACAUGUACAUACACAAUCUGCAAUGGCGUUCACAAUGAACAAUGAUGUUGACUGUUUAUAAAUUGUAAUCAUUAAAUGCAAAUUUAUUUAUUUAAUUGGUACAUGGUGGUAUAUUUAGAUAGAUAUUGGAGGUAUACAAAUAUCCACUAGUAAAUUAAAUAAAAUGUAUGUACAUGUACUAUACUAGGAUGAAAUGCAGUAUAAUACUGUGUGCAGUUUUGUUUGUAUGUGCUUUGCCAUUGAUAGAUAUAAUCUAAUUAUCAGUCUUUCUAGAGUUCAUAUUUAGAGCUUUUGGGUGAGCUGCAGCCUGCUGAAAUAUAACUUUCAAUGUUGUUUGAAAUAACUACAUGUAUUAACAAUUAAGUUAUGAUCACAAAUUUAUUAUAAAGAAAAAGAUGAUAUUGUAAAGAGUCAUUGUGCAUUCUCCUUUUCCAAGUUUUAGUAUUGCAGUUUUACCCAAAAUAAUCAUAAUGACCUAUCAAAUGAGUAACUUUUGUUGUUAUUGUGUUCAAUGAUAACUAUAGAGCACUGCUUGCUUUUGAUCUUGUUAUGUUUUUAUAGUACAAAUAUAUGUCAGCUUGUCAAGUAAGCUGAAAUACUUAUAUCAAAAAAAUCUGUUCUAAAAAAAAAAAAAAUAAAAUACAUUGUUACUGG
rnacentral:misc_RNA from 1 species